AUGCGCCAAGGGGCUGCAGGUACUUGGGCUGCAUUUGAGGAAGUGUCCGGAGUUGGCGGAAACAACCCAUCCACUCCGGCUCUCGCUGGCGCAGGGCUGCAGCGGCUUAGCUCAGACACACACCAGGAUUUGAGGCUUUCUAGAAAACGGCGUGGCCGAGGCCCCGGGCUGGGGCUCGAUGCGCGCCGACCGAGACCGGAUCAGCUCUCCGGCCCGGGGCAGAAGGAAGGCGAGGCAGGGGUCGAGGCGCACGGGCUGGGUGUGCACUCGCCGGCCCCCCUCCGCCCCGACCCGGGGAGCGCGGGGCCCCGACUACAGGACGGCCCAGGUUGGCUGUCUCUAGAGUUUCAGAGUUGGAGAGUGGAGGAGUGCGUGCUGGCGCCGGGACACAGCAGAUCCCCCGGGAAGGGAAGAGAAGGGAAAGGAGGGAGAGGCGGCGCAGCCGUCGGCUGGGACCAAGCGCGCGCUGGCUCCCCAAGCCCGGUGCGGGCGCAGCCCCCCGCUCCCCGGACACACCCACUGCGCCCGCCGCCCGCGCCGUCGCCCCGAGGUCCAGAGCGGGCCCGGGAGGAGGACAGCGGCCGGGCCGGGUCGGGGCCGCGCGGGCGGGGCGCAGGGGGCGCGGGCGGCUCUGCUCACCUGGCGGUCCGCGUCCCGGAGCGGCCGGCGGCCGCCUCGCCUCGCCCCCGCGUGCUUCCCGGCGCCGGGCAGCCCCGAGCCCGCCGCAUGGACGGCCGCCGCCUCCGCCCCGCGCCCGCCCUGCACGGGCUCCCGCUGCGCCCCGGUUCGGCGUCGGGCUGCGCGGGCGGCCAGAGGCUCGGGCGCGCGCGGAAAGCUGUGGCUCGAAGUUUGCGACCGGGAGAACCGGGAUCCGCGCUCCCUCGGUCCCUCCUCCCUCCCCCACCGGCGGCCUCCCGCUGUCAUCUGGAGCCGCUACUGCCGCCCCCUGGCGGCCGCCUCGGGAAGGAACGCCCCCCCCCCCCCCCAACCUCCCGCCGUGACCCCGGAGGGGGCCCUUACAAACAGGAGCGGGACUGA
rnacentral:lncRNA from 1 species